rnacentral:rRNA from 1 species
UACGUAGGGUCCAAGCGUUAUCCGGAAUCACUGGGCGUAAAGCGUGCGUAGGUGGAUGUUUAAGUGUGAUGUUAAAUCGUGUGGCUCAACCAUAUCGAUGCAUCGCAUACUGGACGUCUAGAGGACAGCAGAGGCAAGUGGAAUUUGUAGUGUAGCAGUGAAAUGCGUAGAUAUUACAAGGAACACCAAUGGCGAAGGCAGCUUGCUGGGCUACUCCUGACACUAAGGUACGAAAGCGUGGGGAGCGAACAGG